rnacentral:rRNA from 1 species
UACAGAGGGUGCAAGCGUUAAUCGGAAUUACUGGGCGUAAAGGGCUCGUAGGUGGCCAACUAAGUCAGACGUGAAAUCCCUCGGCUUAACCGGGGAACUGCGUCUGAUACUGGAUGGCUUGAGUUUGGGAGAGGGACGCGGAAUUCCAGGUGUAGCGGUGAAAUGCGUAGAUAUCUGGAGGAACACCGGUGGCGAAGGCGGCAUCCUGGACCGGUAUUGACGCUGAGGCGCGAAAGCCAGGGGAGCAAACGGG